UGUCCCUGACACUAUCACUGAU
rnacentral:siRNA from 1 species